UACGGAGGAUGCAAGCGUUAUCCGGAAUGAUUGGGCGUAAAGCGUCCGCAGGUGGCUAUGUAAGUCUGCUGUUAAAGAGUGAGGCUCAACCUCAUAAGAGCAGUGGAAACUACAUGGCUAGAGUGCGUUCGGGGCAGAGGGAAUUCCUGGUGUAGCGGUGAAAUGCGUAGAGAUCAGGAAGAACACCGGUGGCGAAAGCGGGUUGCUGGGCCGACACUGACGCUGAGGCGCGAAAGCCAGGGGAGCGAACGGG
rnacentral:rRNA from 1 species